GUUCAGCAGCUGUGGGGUGCGACCAGUGUCCACGCACACACUCACACGCAUUCGUUCACUCACUGACACUCUCACACCCAACUCCUGUUGGAUGCGAAUAGAGCACGGAUGUGGAAACGGUGAGACCUCCGCGCAGCGCGAACCUCCGCUUUCGAUCGAGUCGCGUCUCGGAACCUCUUAGCUUUGAGUUUCUGUGUGUAAUGUGCAUAUGAAUGGAUGAAUAUAUGAGAAUGAAUGAAGUUUGUGGA
rnacentral:lncRNA from 1 species